CUCCAUCAGUGGCAUCAAAGAUUUCACCGCAAUUGUCAAUGUUCACCAAACCAAGAUUUUCCGGAUCCCACAUUGCUGCAGCAAAGCCAAAUCUUAGUGUGGCUAGAAGACCAUCACAGGCUGAUGUCCAGCCCAGUUCAGCAGUGUGUAGUGCUUCUACACCAAGCACGGCUACACAGGACCUUCAAGUUUCUGCCCCCGUCCUCACAUCCACUGCGGCAGUGACCAGUUCCACAGAGCCGUCCGGCAUUGUCUCAGUAAGUAAUUUCAUAUUUUCUGUCCAAAAAAAGGUAAUUUGGUUUGCAUAUUUGCUGCCCCAGCUGAAUUCACGCAAAGUGGUUUUAAGACCAGCCAAUUAAAUUGACUUGAUGUUAAUUAACUAAGCUUGAUAUAUGUAUAAAUGUUAACAAAAUAAAGAGAGGAAAAAAUAAAGCAAAGAAUCACAAAAAUUAUGCCUUCUGCUGUUGAUAUUUUAUGUUCACAGUGGUAA